rnacentral:rRNA from 1 species
UGGGGAAUCUUGCACAAUGGGGGAAACCCUGAUGCAGCGACGCCGCGUGAGCGAUGAAGCCCUUCGGGGUGUAAAGUUCUUUCGACAGGAACGAUAAUGACGGUACCUGGAGAAGAAGCUGCGGCUAACUACGUGCCAGCAGCCGCGGUAAUACGUAGGCAGCGAGCGUUGUUCGGAGUUACUGGGCGUAAAGAGUGCGUAGGCGGCGAGCCAAGUUUGGUGUGAAAUCUCCCGGCUUAACCGGGAGGGUGCGCCGAAAACUGGUUGGCUGGAGUAUGGGAGAGGAAAGCGGAAUUCCUGGUGUAGCGGUGAAAUGCGUAGAUAUCAGGAGGAACACCUGCGGUGUAGACAGCUCUCUGGACCAAAACUGACGCUGAGGCACGAAAGCGUGGGUAGCAAACA